rnacentral:rRNA from 1 species
AUGGGGCGCGGGAAGAUCGAGAUCAAGAGGAUCGAGAACUCGUCCAACCGCCAGGUGACCUUCGCCAAGCGCCGGGCCGGGCUGGUGAAGAAGGCCCGCGAGAUCGGCGUGCUCUGCGACGCCGAGGUCGGCGUCGUCAUCUUCUCCAGCGCCGGCAAGCUCUACGACUUCUGGACGCCCAAGACCACGCUGCCGAGGAUCUUGGAGAAGUACCAGACCAACUCCGGCAAGAUCCUCUGGGAUGAGAAGCACAAGAGCAUCAGCGCCGAGAUCGACAGGGUGAAGAAGGAGAACGACAACAUGCAGAUCGAGCUCAGGCAUAUGAAAGGCGAGGAUGUGAACUCCCUGCAGCCCAAGGAGCUGAUCGCCAUCGAGGAGGCGCUCACCAACGGCCAGACCAACCUCAGGGACAAGAUGAUGGACCACUGGAAGAUGCACAGGAGGAAUGAGAAGAUGCUGGAGGAGGAGCACAAGCUGCUGGCUUUGAGGAUGACAUGCAUCAGCUUUUGCCAACUAGUGAAAUGGAGCAUAAUCAGGGCAUGUACAAUGGUGGCAUAUGGAUACAGAUGGCUCAGGACAAAAAGUAAUUUGAGGCCACCAGCAGGACGACCUGAGCAGCGGCAUGAGGGAGAUGGAGCUCGGGUACCAUCAGGGUAG